rnacentral:rRNA from 1 species
AACGAACGCUGGCGGCAGGCCUAACACAUGCAAGUCGAGCGCCCCGCAAGGGAGCGGCGGACGGGUGAGUAACGCGUGGGAACGUACCCUUUGCUACGGAAUAGCCUCGGGAAACUGGGAGUAAUACCGUAUGUGCCCUUCGGGGAAAGAUUUAUCGGCAAAGGAUCGGCCCGCGUUGGAUUAGGUAGUUGGUGGGGUAAUGGCCUACCAAGCCGACGAUCCAUAGCUGGUUUGAGAGGAUGAUCAGCCACACUGGGACUGAGACACGGCCCAGACUCCUACGGGAGGCAGCAGUGGGGAAUCUUAGACAAUGGGCGCAAGCCUGAUCUAGCCAUGCCGCGUGAGCGAUGAAGGCCUUUAGGGUUGUAAAGCUCUUUCAGUGGGGAAGAUAAUGACUGUACCCACAGAAGAAGCCCGGCUAACUCCGUG